rnacentral:rRNA from 1 species
GCUCAGUAACACGUGGAUAACCUACCCUUAGGACUGGGAUAACCUUGGGAAACUGAGGAUAAUACUGGAUAGGCAAUUUUUCCUGUAAUGGUUUUUUGUUUAAAUGUUUUUUCGCCUAAGGAUGGGUCUGCGGCCGAUUAGGUAGUUGGUUAGGUAAUGGCUUACCAAGCCGUUGAUCGGUACGGGUUGUGAGAGCAAGAGCCCGGAGAUGGAACCUGAGACAAGGUUCCAGGCCCUACGGGGUGCAGCAGGCGCGAAACCUCCGCAAUGUGAGAAAUCGCGACGGGGGGAUCCCAAGUGCCAUUCUUAACGGGAUGGCUUUUCUUUAGUGUAAAAAGCUUUUGGAAUAAGAGCUGGGCAAGACCGGUGCCAGCCGCCGCGGUAACACCGGCAGCUCUAGUGGUAGCAAUUUUUAUUGGGCCUAAAGCGUCCGUAGCCGGUUUAAUAAGUCUCUGGUGAAAUCCUGUAGCUUAACUGUGGGAAUUGCUGGAGAUACUAUUAGACUUGAGACCGGGAGAGGUUAGAGGUACUCCCAGGGUAGAGGUGAAAUUCUGUAAUCCUGGGAGGACCGCCUGUUGCGAAGGCGUCUAACUGGAACGGUUCUGACGGUGAGGGACGAAAGUUAGGGGCGCGAACCGGAUUAGAUACCCGGGUAGUCCUAACUGUAAACGAUGCGGACUUGGUGUUGGGGUGGCUUUGAGCUGCUCCAGUGCCGAAGGGAAGCUGUUAAGUCCGCCGCCUGGGAAGUACGGUCGCAAGACUGAAACUUAAAGGAAUUGGCGGGGGAAUC